rnacentral:rRNA from 1 species
UACGGAGGGUGCAAGCGUUAUCCGGAUUCACUGGGUUUAAAGGGUGCGUAGGUGGGUCUGUAAGUCAGUGGUGAAAUCUCCGGGCUUAACCCGGAAACUGCCAUUGAUACUAUAGGUCUUGAAUUUUCUGGAGGUAAGCGGAAUAUGUCAUGUAGCGGUGAAAUGCUUAGAUAUGACAUAGAACACCAAUUGCGUAGGCAGCUUACUACACGAUCAUUGACGCUGAGGCACGAAAGCGUGGGGAGCAAACAGG